rnacentral:rRNA from 1 species
UACAGAGGUCUCAAGCGUUUGUUCGGAUUCAUUGGGCGUAAAGGGUGCGUAGGUGGCGCCGUAAGUCAGGUGUGAAAUUUCGGAGCUUAACUCCGAAACUGCAUUUGAUACUGCGGUGCUUGAGGACUGGAGAGGAGACUGGAAUUUACGGUGUAGCAGUGAAAUGCGUAGAGAUCGUAAGGAAGACCAGUGGCGAAGGCGGGUCUCUGGACAGUUCCUGACACUGAGGUAACGAAGGCCCAGGGGAGCAAACGGG